AAUUGCUUGUUAGUGCACUGACCUUUAUGGCUGUGACUGCCAACAGAAUGGACUAAAUGCAGCAGCCAGACAUCAUGGAGCUCACUGCACCUUUAUUGUGCACAAACAAUGCUACUCUACUCCUGCUCGUUACUGAGACCACUAAAAUAUCUCUUUGAGAAAGUUUGAGUAUUAUGUUACCUAAGUGUAUGCAGCAAACCAUUAAGUAAAUCCAUCUGUGAAACACUACAUUAAAGGCUUUCUAUGUGAUUUUUCACACUUAAAUGUAGAAAUCAAGUUUAUCCUCUGAAAAUAACUCUGUGAGUCAUGACUGUCUACAAUGGGUGUAACACCCGAGUCCCACUGUCUGUGAUGUUUUCAGAGUUUUCAGAGUCCUAUCUUCAGUUUGUUUACAUCGCCAGGACGGCCGGCUGACUCCUCCCCUCGUGUAUAAAAGUUGUUUAAUUGAGGGACUAGAGAAAAGAAGAAUAACAUACUGUACUCACUGCUUAACUGUGUUUCUAGAUCACGCUCAUUUCAGGUAAAUUUACAUGCAGUGUGAAGAUACGAGCAUAAUAAAGAUCGCUAGCAUUAGCAUGCUAACACAACAAUGCAGCGCGAGUUGUUUUGGUUUCAUGCUGCCUUUAAUAUGUUGUGAUAUAAAAAUAAUUCGCAAACUGAAUAAGCUAUAAUAUUUUGGGAGUGAUGCGUUUAACCAUGCCUAGCUUUUAGCAGUAUUACAAACAGGUACUGUACUAUGGUGAUACAGUAUGCCAACAUAAUAAAGACAUGAAAUCUA